GCCCUAGUAACGGCGAGUGAAGCGGCAACAGCUCAAAUUUGAAAUCUGGCCCUUUUAGGGUCCGAGUUGUAAUUUGCAGAGGGUGCUUUGGCGUUGGCUGCGGUCUAAGUUCCUUGGAACAGGACGUCACAGAGGGUGAGAAUCCCGUACGUGGCUGCAUGCCUUGGCCGUGUAAAGCCCCUUCGACGAGUCGAGUUGUUUGGGAAUGCAGCUCUAAAUGGGAGGUAAAUUUCUUCUAAAGCUAAAUACUGGCCAGAGACCGAUAGCGCACAAGUAGAGUGAUCGAAAGAUGAAAAGCACUUUGGAAAGAGAGUCAAACAGCACGUGAAAUUGUUGAAAGGGAAGCGCUUGCAGCCAGACUUGCCUGUAGUUGCUCACCCGGGCUCCUGCCCGGGGCACUCUUCUGUAGGCAGGCCAGCAUCAGUCCGGGCGGUCGGAAAAUGGCCUCUAUCACGUACAUUCCCUCGGGAAGACCUUAUAGGGGAGGCGUAAUGCGUCCAGCCUGGACUGAGGUCCGCGCAUCUGCUAGGAUGCUGGCGUAAUGGCUGUAAGCGGCCCGUCUUGAAACACGGACCAAGGAGUCUAACAUCUAUGCGAGUGUUUGGGUGUAAAGCCCGGGCGCGCAAUGAAAGUGAACGGAGGUGGGAACCCUCUGGGUGCACCAUCGACCGAUCCUGAUGUC
rnacentral:rRNA from 1 species